GGGGUAGUUUUUUAGUACGUAUGCGCCAGGGAUGGCGAAUAGUGCAUGCUGCUAUUAAGAACCAGCAGUAUCUUUUGAAGAUUUUCUAUCUCC
rfam:Glossina pallidipes unplaced genomic scaffold Scaffold63, whole genome shotgun sequence.